UACCAUGCAGUCGAGCGGUAGAGAGAAGCUUGCUUCUCUUGAGAGCGGCGGACGGGUGAGUAAUGCCUAGGAAUCUGCCUGGUAGUGGGGGAUAACGUUCGGAAACGGACGCUAAUACCGCAUACGUCCUACGGGAGAAAGCAGGGGACCUUCGGGCCUUGCGCUAUCAGAUGAGCCUAGGUCGGAUUAGCUAGUUGGUGAGGUAAUGGCUCACCAAGGCGACGAUCCGUAACUGGUCUGAGAGGAUGAUCAGUCACACUGGAACUGAGACACGGUCCAGACUCCUACGGGAGGCAGCAGUGGGGAAUAUUGGACAAUGGGCGAAAGCCUGAUCCAGCCAUGCCGCGUGUGUGAAGAAGGUCUUCGGAUUGUAAAGCACUUUAAGUUGGGAGGAAGGGCAGUUACCUAAUACGUGAUUGUUUUGACGUUACCGACAGAAUAAGCACCGGCUAACUCUGUGCCAGCAGCCGCGGUAAUACAGAGGGUGCAAGCGUUAAUCGGAAUUACUGGGCGUAAAGCGCGCGUAGGUGGUUAGUUAAGUUGGAUGUGAAAUCCCCGGGCUCAACCUGGGAACUGCAUUCAAAACUGACUGACUAGAGUAUGGUAGAGGGUGGUGGAAUUUCCUGUGUAGCGGUGAAAUGCGUAGAUAUAGGAAGGAACACCAGUGGCGAAGGCGACCACCUGGACUGAUACUGACACUGAGGUGCGAAAGCGUGGGGAGCAAACAGGAUUAGAUACCCUGGUAGUCCACGCCGUAAACGAUGUCAACUAGCCGUUGGGAGCCUUGAGCUCUUAGUGGCGCAGCUAACGCAUUAAGUUGACCGCCUGGGGAGUACGGCCGCAAGGUUAAAACUCAAAUGAAUUGACGGGGGCCCGCACAAGCGGUGGAGCAUGUGGUUUAAUUCGAAGC
rnacentral:rRNA from 1 species